CGGCACGGGUGAGUAACACGUAUCCAACCUGCCGUCUACUCUUGGCCAGCCCUCUGAAAGGAAGAUUAAUCCAGGAUGGCAUCAUGAGUUCACAUGUCCGCAUGAUUAAAGGUAUUUUCCGGUAGACGAUGGGGAUGCGUUCCAUUAGAUAGUAGGCGGGGUAACGGCCCACCUAGUCAACGAUGGAUAGGGGUUCUGAGAGGAAGGUCCCCCACAUUGGAACUGAGACACGGUCCAA
rnacentral:rRNA from 1 species